UAUUAUAGCCAUCAGAACAAUAACCUACUAACUUGGUCAGGAUAGAGAUAUAGCAGCCAUAUGAAGAAGUGUUGUGUCUGGCGGUCUUUUUUAAUCAUU
rfam:Mycoplasma canis TFG4 Contig05, whole genome shotgun sequence.